UACAGAGGGUGCAAGCGUUGUUCGGAAUUAUUGGGCGUAAAGGGAGUGUAGGCUGUGAGGUAAGUCUUCUGUGAAAUCUACGGGCUUAGCCUGUAACGUGCAGAGGAAACUGCUUCGCUUGAGUGUCGGAGAGGAUAGGGGAAUACCCAGUGUAGAGGUGAAAUUCGUAGAUAUCGGGAGGAACACCAGUGGCGAAGGCGGCGCUGUCGGACACUGACGCUGAGACGACGAACUGGGGAGCAAACAGG
rnacentral:rRNA from 1 species